rnacentral:rRNA from 1 species
UACGAGCUGAAUUAAAGUGAAACCGCAAAAGGCUCAGUAAACCGGUCAUAGUUUACCGGAUAUAUGCCACUAACGUGGAUAACUGUGGUAAUUCUAGAGCUAAUACAUGAAAACAAGUCCCGACCAGCGAUGGAGAGGACGCUUUUAUUGGAUCAAAACCAUUCGCCCGUUUAUUCGGGCGUCUUCUUGAUGAUUCUAGAUAACACCACAGAUCGCAUGGUCUUUGUACCGAUGACGUAUCCUUCAAAUGUCUGACUUAUCAGCUGUCGAUGGUAGACUCUGUGUCUACCAUGGCUCUCACGGGUGACGGGGAAUCAGGGUUCGAUUCCGGAGAGGGAGCCUGAGAAACGGCUACCACAUCCAAGGAAGGCAGCAGGCACGCAAAUUACCCACUCCCGGCACGGGGAGGUAGUGACAAAAAAUAACGAUACGGGACUCAUCCGAGGCCCCGUAAUCGGAAUGAGAACACCCUAAAUCCUAUAACGAGGAUCUAUUGGAGGGAAAGUCUGGUGCCAGCAGCCGCGGUAAUUCCAGCUCCAAUAGCGUAUAUUAAAGUUGUUGCGGUUAAAAAGCUCGUAGUUGGUUUUGCGUGCCACGCUGUCGGUUCACCGCCUGCCGGUGCAACUGGCAUGCCGUGGCAUGUCCUGUCGGUGGCUGAUAGGCACACUUCGUGCGCCAUGCGGUUCUGCUGUGUGGGUUGUCGCGUUAGUGUUGUCCUUGUAAGCCGGCUCAAUCCUACCGCGGUGCUCUUUACCGAGUGUCGAGGUAGGCCGACACUGUUUACUUUGAACAAAUUAGAGUGCUUAAAGCAGGCUCUUAAAUCAGCCUGAAUAGUGGUGCAUGGAAUAAUGGAACAGGACCUUGGUUCUAUUUUGUUGGUUUUAGGAAUCCAAGGUAAUGAUCAAUAAGGACAGGCGGGGGCAUUCGUAUUGCGACGUUAGAGGUGAAAUUCUUGGAUCGUCGCAAGACGCACUAGAGCGAAAGCAUUUGCCAAGUAUGUCCUAAUUGAUCAAGAACGAAAGUUAGAGGUUCGAAGGCGAUCAGAUACCGCCCUAGUUCUAACCAUAAACGAUGCCAGCCAGCGAUCCGCCGAUGUUCCUCCGAUGACUCGGCGGGGAGCUUUCCCCGGGAAACCAAAGCUUUUGGGUUCCGGGGGAAGUAUGGUUGCAAAGCUGAAACUUAAAGGAAUUGACGGAA